GAAUUUACCUCUCUCUCUCUCUCUCUCGCUUGCUCGCUCUUUCUAUUGGAAGUCAUUUGCUACUUUAAUCUGGUUUAUUCGAUAUCUAUUGUUUUGAUGAAGUUGCUUAAUCUCGCAAAAAAUUGAAUUUUAUUUGUAUUUUGUUUUUGUAAAAGUCAGUUUCUAAUGGCAAGAGGCCCUAUUGCGUCUCUCUUUCGAGCCUACGCAUCAAAAAGUAAGGUUUCUAGGGCUAGAUUUUUACUCUCAAAUCAAAAUUUUCGUUCUUUUAGACUAUUUAACAACUGGGUAUUAGAAAGUCAUCAACUUAUUCCUCCAUUUGAUGUGCCCUACCAUCAAAUCUCAAGUUCGAUAUGCUUAAUUCAUCCUCAGUUGCCCUCAUGGAACCCAAAAUUUACCCUUUGUAGUGCCAUAAAUGGGAGGCCAUUUUCUUCAUCAGUCCAAGACGGGGAUGAUGAGAAUAGCAGCAGUACGGAAUUGGAAGAGAACAUUAAUAUGGAUUUUGUAGAAACUAUUCGUGUGGAAGGUGUUAUUGAGAAGACAAUUGAAGAUGGAGUUGGUGAUGUUAAUGGUAGCACCUUUUCUUAUCCUAUAACUUCUGUAGAGGAACAUGAAAAUCAAGAUAGUGGUAGCAACAAUAAAAUUGCAGUCAAAAAGAAUGUGCAAUUUCGUGAUCCUGUAGAAAUAUAUCAGGAGCUUCGAAAUGCUGAAAAGAAUGAUAAGCUGAGACGGUCUGAUUGGGAGAUUCUACGAGAAAUAUUCUUUUACUUUGCUAAUUCUGGCUGGGCUGCCAAUCAGGCUCUUGCGAUUUAUAUUGGCAUGUCAUUUUUUCCCACUGCUGCUCAUAAGUUUCGGAAUUUUUUCUUUAGGAAAUGUUCUGCUCAGCUUGCUAUGUACUUGGUUUCACUUGGUCCGUGCAAUGCUGCUGUUAGGUUCCUUUUUCCAAUAUUUGUUGAAUAUUGCAUAGAAGAGUUUCCUGAUGAAAUUAAGCGCUUUCGAAGUAUGAUUGAGUCUGCAGAUCUUACGAAGCCAUAUACAUGGUUUCCUUUUGCUCGGGCAAUGAAACGUAGAAUUAUAUAUCAUUGUGGCCCAACAAACAGCGGUAAAACUUACAAUGCACUGCAACGAUUUAUGGAAGCUAAGAAGGGUGUUUAUUGCAGUCCACUCAGGCUCUUGGCAAUGGAAGUUUUUGACAAAGUGAAUGCUCUUGGUGUUUACUGUAGCCUUCACACAGGACAAGAGAAGAAAAAUGUCCCAUUCUCGAAUCACGUGGCUUGUACUGUGGAAAUGGUGUCAACUGAUGAAUUGUAUGAUGUGGCUGUCAUUGAUGAGAUCCAGAUGAUGGCAGACUCAUUCAGAGGUUUUGCAUGGACAAGAGCACUGCUUGGUUUGAAGGCGGAUGAGAUUCAUUUAUGUGGAGAUCCAAGUGUUCUGAAUAUUGUAAGAAAGAUAUGUUCAGAAACUGGAGAUGAACUGCUUGAACACCAUUAUGACAGGUUCAAACCACUAGUGGUUGAAGCCAAAACCCUGUUGGGAGAUCUUCGAAAUGUACGCUCUGGGGAUUGUGUGGUUGCAUUUUCAAGAAGAGAGAUUUUUGAGGUAAAAUUGGCGAUUGAGAAACACACCAAGCAUCGUUGUUGUGUUAUUUAUGGUGCCUUACCGCCAGAGACACGUAGACAGCAGGCUAACUUAUUCAAUGAUCAAGAUAAUGAAUUUGAUGUGCUGGUUGCAAGUGAUGCUGUGGGUAUGGGUUUGAAUCUCAAUAUUAGAAGAGUAGUUUUUAACAGUCUUUCAAAGUACAAUGGCGACAAGAUUGUUCCAGUUCCAGCAUCACAGGUGAAGCAGAUUGCUGGAAGAGCUGGGAGGAGAGGAAGCCGCUACCCAGAUGGACUCACUUCCACCCUGCAUUUGGAUGAUCUCGGUUACCUGAUUGAAUGUUUAAAGCAACCUUUUGAAGAAGUAAAGAAAGUGGGUCUCUUUCCUUUCUAUGAGCAGGUUGAAUUAUUUGCUGGGCAACUUCCAGAUGUUACUUUUCCUCAACUGCUUGAAAAGUUUGGUGAAAAUUGUCGUCUUGAUGGGUCUUACUUCUUAUGUCGGCAUGAUAAUAUAAAGAAGGUAGCAUAUAUGUUGGAGAAGGUUCAGGGAUUAUCUUUGGAAGAUCGUUUCAACUUUUGUUUUGCUCCAGUUAAUAUUAGAGACCCAAAAGCAAUGUACCAUCUUCUAAAGUUUGCUUCUUCCUAUAGUCAGAAGGUCCCUGUUGGUAUAGCAAUGGGCAUGCCAAAGGGAUCUGCUCAGAAUGACUCAGAGCUCCUAGAUCUCGAAACUAAACAUCAAGUUCUUUCCACGUAUCUGUGGUUGUCUCAUCAAUUUAAAGAGGAAACUUUUCCAUAUGUUAAGAAAGCUGAGACAAUGGCAACGGAAAUUGCUGAUUUACUGGGUCAAUCACUCAUCCAAGCUCGCUGGAAACCAGAAUCAAGGAAGGCAGGGAAACCAAGGCCUCAGCAACAGAAAGAUGGUUUUGAGAGGCCCAAGUCACUCAUCAAACAAUAUAUAGAGAGAAGGAAAAAACAGAACUCAUCACAGGAGUGUUCAGAGAAGGUAGCAGUGUGAUGAAUCUUGCAGUUUCUUGCUCUGGUACACCUCGAGAGGGAUGUGGGUGAGUUUGGUGAUUCUUUAAUUUGGUCUCAUGGUGCACUCAAAAAAAUCAUUGAUACCUGCAUGAUCUACUACAAUUGUUUGACGUGCAUCUAGUGGCUUACAGUCCGCCUGUGUCUCUGGUGGCUCCCAAUCCAAAGUCCUAAAGAUGAUGUAUGCAUGGGAUUUGAGGCCAUAAAUUCCCUCAUACAGCUUGCCAAGUGAAAAUAUGCAACUGAGCUUAGGAAAUGAAAUUAACGGGCAGAGGACCGCAGAUGGUCAGUAACUCAUGGUUUUUAAUUUGUAAAUGUUGAUAGAAACUUCUAGUGGCACAUUUGGAAUAAGUAGGCAUACUCUGUUGAGGCCUUAUUAUACGAGGCCAAUUCCUCAAAUCGUGGUGACUGUUCAUCUUAAUUUUUGUAUUGAAAUUUAUGAUUUUCCA